rnacentral:sRNA from 1 species
GUUUGAGUUUUAUGAGUUAAAGUUGUUAAUUAAUUACAUAAUUGUAUGAACUUUGUUUAUGACAUCACCCUUAAAUUAAUAUCUAAUAUUGAAACAACUUUAAUAUUUCUAGGAAUUCCACUUAUUUUGCAUUUAGCAUGAAAGUACUUAUGACACCAAGAUAUUCUUACGUGUAGUAAUUUCAAUAUAGUAAAAAAGGUGUAAAUUAUAUUGCACAUAAACAAACAGUUCAUUUAAUAAAUUUACGCGAGUUUAUACCAGAGAUUUGAUAGUAAUGUGUAGGAUGAGAAAUAAUUUAUUCUUGCAAUGUAUAAACAAAAUAACAAUUUGGGAUGACAAUUUUUAGUAGAUCUUUAAUAACUGCAAUACCUUAAAAAAUACAUUCGGUUGUAACUAUCGAAUGUCUGUUUUCAUUUCUCUAUUGUUGCAGCCUUGACUGAACAAUUGCAUGCAGAAAUUGAGAGGCUAAAAGCAAUAACAAUUUUGAACGAAAAAGAGAGUGUAGAAUUUCAAAGACUGAAGAUGGAAACAUGUGAAGUAUUGCAGUACCGUUGCGAGUUCGACAGAUCAAACAUGCAAGGAAUGGACCCAAACUUGUUCACCUUGUCUCAGCCAAACCUUGGUUUUUAUGGACAGAUUUAAGGAAGCUGUGGUGACUUUGGCAAUUCAAUGGGAUCAAAGAUUGAAGUUAUAGGUCUAUAAAAUGUUUCAGUUUAUAUAAUUUAUGUUCAUGCCGAGAGUAAAAAUGAUAGUAACUGUGUGAGGCUUCCUACUUUUCCUUUUUAGCUGUGUUUUUCUUAAUCACUU